UCCAUUUCUGUACAGAUGGGAAAUGCACUGGAAUAGAACUGGAUGGUUUAAGUUCAUCAUCUGUUCAUCUCUUGAUAGAGAUCAAUAUAGAUUAGAGAUUUUGUGGCUAAUUGUGAAGAAAAGCAUUUUUGGAAUGCCUGGGCAGUACAAGCGUGAAUCACAGCAGCAAGCCAUUGCUUCUGUCUCCCAACAUGUAUCAUGGAACUAUUUUCUUCCAUGCCUUUUGUAGUACAGUACAUUCUACAUUAUGAAUCAUUUUCAUGCAAAAAUAGAAACAAGUGAUGACUAUGUUCACUUCACAACAGAGAAGAAAGGACUGGCAUCCCAUAAUUAAAUUACCAGGUUUAGUGGCAUUGUAACCAAUUGCUGCACACACGGCCUUGAGGGUUGGCUGUGGAGAGGUUAAUAGACCCCUAGCACACGUUUCCUAACAAAAUAUGAUUUUUUGCAAAGUCAGAUUCUGGUCCUUGGGGAAGAUCCAAAGUAACACUUUGUUAUUUAGUGCCAUUUUGGAUGUUGUCACACUGAUGAUGCCAUACCUUAAAGCGAAAUGAAACGCUGCUGUUCACGGCACUGUGCCUAUCAUCCCUAUGAAGGGAACAAAGAACAAAGCACCCGGGCAUUGGAUGUACAGUCUACAGCAUUCUGGGGUGUGGGAGGUGAGACGCUUGGUUCAGGCACUUUGUUCAUCUCUUCCAUCAGUCCUACCUGUGUCACGCACGGCUGCUGUGGAGCUGUGUCUCCCAGACAUGAGCUGCUUGGAGCCAGGAGCAUGGUUCUCAGGAGUAAAGUGCCAAACCUGACCUAGUAAUGCUGCUGGGAGGCUGGGAAUAUUAAUUCAUGCUUAUUGCCCUCCUAACAUGGCUGCUUGGGUUUUCUCCAGUCUGCAGCACACUCCUGCUUGGGAUGUGGGCAGAGAAAGCCUAAGCCUUCCUGCAGAAGAUCAUGUAGGGAUUCCCUUAGGUGCCUAGCUCAGCCCACAACAGAUGUCCAUUUUGUGAAGUGUAGUAAUGACUGGAGACAUUGCCAUUUUCCAGCUGCUCAGCAUGGCCCAUCAUCUAGUUCUGCUGGAAGAAGAGACUGCAGUCACACAUGCACUUUCAAUCUAGCAAAUUCAGUCAGGUAAACUGAAGACAGCAGCUUUUAAACCCCAGUCUCUCUGUCUGAAGCGAUUGCCCCUUCUGUAACACUCCAGUGGCACGGUAACUUGAGCAUUCUUCAGUGAGAAUACAUCAAAGCUGCAGGUUUGGGGGCCCUUUAUAUUUUUGCUAUUUUUUUUUUUUACUGGGAGGAAUGUGACUAGAGGGCUAUUCAGUGGGGUGCCCAACCCACAGAUGGGAAUUAUAGUCGCACAGUUGAUAUUGCCUGUGCAGUGAUAGUUGACAAUUUAAUAAGCAACAUACACAACACAUUGAAUGGACUAGUAAAAUGGAGCUGCAGUGGCCUUGAGCUUGAUCUCUUGCAGUAAAUCAGGAAUUGUAUUACAGAGGCCAGAGAAGUCAUGCUAGUACUGAAGAGAUUAGAGUUGGCCUCAAUACUGAAAGGGCUGAAGGCAUUUUAAUUUUAUGGAAUUGUAAUUUAAGCAAGAAGGAAAUUUUACAGGUUUUUUUUCUGCCACACGGACAUGAUAUGCAUCCAAUGCACUCACUCCUGUUUUCAGCUGCAGAAAUAUUCAUCCUUUGAGCUCAUCUACAAUCUGAAUUCAUCUUAGCCACGCCACCAAAACACACCCUCCUUGUAAAUCUGGCAGAUAUUCUUAGUUCUUUUAAACCCUUAGAAGGGAAGAAAUAAAACACUGUUUACCUUGUCUGUUUUUUUAGAGGAUAGUUAACAUAUAUUGCUUUUCCCUAUGCACAACCUUCAAGGCUGAACAAUCACAAAAGGAAACACUAAAGUGUUUUAGUAGCCAUCUGAAGAUAUUUUGGCUGUAAAUCCCAUAAACAUGAGCUGAUGAGUUACCCUUUUUUUGGCAGUCAUCUCGUUGCAAUUAAAAAGACAAUUCCUGCAGCACAGUUCUUUGCAAGCUGUGCUUAAAAGAGCAAUCCCCUGGCGUGCCACAGAGCACAAAAGCCACAGGUCUAAGUCAUGGGGGUAACAGGACCUCCCACAUCAGCUGAGAUGAAGUUGAUAUUGAUUGUCAGGGUAUUAAUAGAUGAACUUAUCACACCUUUUUUGCAACAAUUUAAGGAGUUACUAACACCAUAUUUGUGGUUGCCAUGCUCAAAGUGAUGUCAAGAGAAUGUACUCAAUGCCCCAACAGCUUCAGUGUCAAGUCUGUUGGUUUAGGUAAAAUUUCACUUCACCUGCAGUUUAAAGCAAGAAGCAGACUGGCAGUAAAGCAGCUGGGGUGGGGCACACCUCCUGUUCUGCUGGUUUUGCUGUGGAAAGGGGCAACUUCCAAGACUGUCAGUAAGUGGAGGACAUAACUCCAUAGGCCACCACAGAGCCAUUCACAGGAUCUCAUUUAGCAGUGCCUCUAGUCUCUGGCAAGUUCAAGUUUAUUUAAAAAAGGCAGCCCCUCCUAGCUCUCUGGAUUGCCAGCUCAGCUAGUGCUAAGCUGAUUUGAAUUACUUCUCAUGUGCUCAGGUCACACAUAGAGCUCCUAUGCCUCAGCAAACACACGGCAAUUUAUGUACAUGUUUUGCAUUUCAGAUGUCCAUGAAUAUUUUAUUAGUGGAAAUAUUCAUUUGCAUAGUACUUACUGAAGUAAAUUUUUGAGGUCCUCAGGACUGCAGAACAAAACAAACCACCUGGACUGAAAAAGAAGCAAUUAUGGAGCUGGAAGAGAGCUGAGGGUUUAAUGCCAUGAAAUACUGUUAAUAUCCUGGAAGCAAGUCAGCAGGGACAGCACGAUGACAGGACCUUCAAGCUACUUCCCAGACUUCCACAUGACAGAGAAGAAAAAUGUGGUGGAACUGAAGGUAGAAAUUGACUCAUGGGUAUGGCCAAUCCUCUUGCAUAGGUAUUUUUCAGGGUUCUGUUCUUGCUUAAGCACAGCUCCCCAUAAAGCUAAGGCUCCACUGAUUUUCUAAAGUGCUUUUUUUAAUUAAGUAAUUGCAAAAAACUGCUCUACUAUAGUAGAGAAUGUUUUGGGGGGAAAAAAAAGCAGCUUUAAGAUAAAAAUUAGGACUUAUGUCUUCAAACAAAAAUAGAAGAAUUAUACAUGGCAAAUAGCUAAAAACCUCUUUGGUAAGUUAAUUCAAAUUGAGCUGAGAAUGUUGGAUUUAUUGCUGUGGGGAGCUUGACUGAAUGGCUCAAAAUUCUUAUGCCACUUUUGUUUUCUUCUCCAUAUUACUGAGAUUGCUGCACUGUGCCAAACAAGUAAGCCUGGAAAAGAAUUUCCUUGCUAGGAUCUACUUUGAGGCUGCAAGUUAGCAGAGGAGAUAGACCCUCCCCGUGAUGAGUGAAUUAGAACAUACACAUACCAUGAGCAACAGUAAGGAUCUGACAUGGGGCUGUUUUCUGCCUGGCCACAGGUUCAUGUAGGCUGUAUUCAGCAGUCUUCUGUAGGUGCCCUGAACAGUCUUCUAAGCUUCACUGAAGAGGUAAAUAAAAUCUCUGUUCAAGAGGUGAAAAGCUUUUUUGCUGUGUACCUGUCACACUAGACAGUCUCCUGUCCUCAAGCACAGAGAUUCAGGACAGAGUAUUGCCCACAAGGAUAGACUUCAUUUUAACUCCACUGUUCAGAAGUAAUCUUGCAAGAAUGACUGUGGACCCAAAAAGGUCAGAAUAGCUGGAGUUCAUCAAACAAUUAAACACACCAGCUCUGUAUUUUGAAUAGAAAAUAAGACCAAGAGGAGGGAGUAGCAGUAGUGUCUGUGGUUUUCACAAAAACUCAAAAAGUAAAUAAGUAGAUUUAUUCGGAGAUUUCUUGCAUCCACAAAAGGGAAACUGAUGGUGAGAACUGAAGAAAUAGGACUAAUAUGAAAAAAAAAAAAAAAGGCGUGCCUUUACCUACAACACUCAAAUAUCUCCCUGGGGGAAUUAAAAAAACCCAGCCAACCUACUUCUGUACAUGAAAGUUGUGAAAACACGAAAGCAAAAUAUUCUGAGGAACAUAUUUUAAAUCUCAGAGAGUAACCUCCACUUGAGUUGGGCCUUUUUUCCUCAAAGGGGAUAGGCAGAUUUUAACUUACCUAUCAUCCUAAAGGGGAGAAUUUCAUUGUUGAUCUAGUUCAACUCUAGCAGACAUUACUGGUCAUAUUUAGCCACAAAAUAACAAUUCCUAGAACCUCCACCCACUUACACUCUGAAAGCGAACCACAGCUACUGUUUCUCAUCUGUGCAUAAAUGCUUACCUUUACAACAUAAGGUGCUGGGAUUUCUUCAGAGUGCUUUUAAACCAGUAUGUUGCUAACAUUGUCCCUGUCACACCUCCAGAAACAGGAAGAAAGCACAGAGAAGCACUUAGUAGCAAGAUGCAAAUCCGUGGUUUACAGAUAGAUAGACAACCUUCCUCUGCCUUCUCCUUUGAAACUGUGUGUGGGCUUCACUUGUUGAGUUGGGCUUCUUGCAGGCAAUGUCACAUGGCAUAACUACCAUUAGUAUUGGCUGAUGAAACAGGUAAGUUGAGUUUCUUGUGCAGAUUUUUCUCUAAAGGCAGAUUGGAAAUGGAAACUCUCUAUUUGUCUUUAUUUUAAUUAGUGAAAAGCUGAUGGAAGCACAAACCAAUGCGGCAUCCUAAUUGUUUCAUCAGUGAAAUUAUAAGUAGAUUCUUACAAAAAAUUAUUGAAAUAGCAAAACAAUCCAGAGCUAUGAAAAGCUGAGACAAGCCUCUUGUCCGAACAGGCUGGAGUAUUCUUCAGAGUUGUACUAGAUUGGAAGUGAAAUUUUGCCCUUUGGGAUGAUUGGCAAGUUAGAAUCUGCCUUUCCCCUCUGAAGAAAAAAGGCCCAGCUGAAGUGGAGGAUACCACUUACAUGACUCCUUUCAUCCUGCUAAGCAAACAGUGAAUGGAUGUAACUCAGCAUUUUUGGUGAAAACAGCCUGCUUUGGCUCAGUGCAGAAGAGAGGGCUGAAGACAUAAACAUACACAUUUGAAUAGGGGAUGAAUUUUCCCCAUGCUUCUGAUAGAAAAUGUAAUUGCAUCAGAUGUUCUCUGAAAACUGCCAGUUUGCUUAAGAACACUCAGUAUAUUACCUCAAUAACUGCUUGCCUACACUUCACAGACAGAAUGCAAGGACGUGCUUUUCUCUCAAUUGCAGAUGAGAAAUAAGGUCUCAGGCUUGAUAAUACUUCCAAUCUGCUUCACAAGCAAAUGACUGAUUUUAAUUAUUUUUUAACUGUUAACAUGGAAGCAGACUUAUCUUUAGAUAGAGGCAGCCAAGAAAACAAGGACAAUGCAUAUGAACCCCUUUCCCUGUUUUCCCCAGUUUCACUGCUUGAGAAUUGAGGAUUAUUUUUUAAGAAGAGAAAAACAGCAAAAGCAUUUUAUAUGUCUCUUCAGUAGCCAAAGAGAAUUUAUCAGAAUCUCGGCAAUAACACUCAUGUUCAAGUGCAAUUUAUGCCAGAUGAAUGAUGAAUCUCUAUCAUGGCAAUUUAGGGUCCUCCAGCUUGGACCACAUGAAGAUUUCUUCAGGGUAUGUGGAGAUGUGUCUCCUUAGCUAAUGCUUCCUUGGGGAAAGGCAGAACACAGGCAAAUUCAAGGGAAAGCAAAAGCUGACAGAGGAGAUUGUGGCAUUCCUUCCAAGACCCAGUAAAGAACCACAAAAGGAUUUUAGAGGUUUUAGGGCAGCUACUGCCUGCAGAAACCCCCACAGCAUCAAUCCAGUUAUGCUGCUGUGCUGCAAGGGGAUGGAAAAGCUAGCAGAGAGGAGUAACUUCCCUUCAUGAUUAGCCUGGGCAUCACAGUCCAUUUCAAAAAUGAAGGAACUUGUCCUGCUGGUAGAAUAAUGAAUCAUUAAAACGACAAGAAGAAUUACUAAAGUGCUCCUUUGCUCUUGGCUUUCAGAUGAACUUCCAAACUGGCUUUUAAUCUUCCUGGUGGGGAUGACUUCCUCAGAGAGUCAACAGAAGACAAUCCUCUAAUACUUUUUAUCUUGGCAACCUUUUAAAGUGCAAUGCAUGUAUAAAUAAAUGCCAUUAUUAACUCCAUGGAAAAAUGCCUAGCAUUCUCAGAGUUGAAAAUGCAAAUCAAUUAUGCAGUGUCUUAAUUCUAGCAUCUUCAAAAAAGGAAAAAUUCUAAUGACAUAUUACAUUGCUUUGUGAAUCAAUUCCAAAUUAUUGGAAAUUGUCACACAUCCCCAUUCAUUAAGAAGCUUUAUUUUUAAGCAUAUUCAAGACAUUUUUGGAUCAAUGUAAAGACUACACUGACCACAGAGCUUUAGAGUAGACCUUAAAUUAUGAUUUUCCUAGUCUGUCUGACUAAUUUGGCAGCAAUAAAAGACUCUGCAUUUCCACUUCAGACACAGGGAGCUUCACAGGUCUUUCAAAAGCCUCAGGUUUAAUUAGUCAUUGAAAAAGAGUGGUUAUUUAAUAGGAAAAAAAAAUUAUGGUACCUAGAGUCUUAAAGACUUUAAAACUAGAGGGGACUGUGAAACCCCACAGCCUUUCCAGGGUUGCAAAUCAUCUAAUGGUUCAGAAAUCAUGACAGAGUGGGAAGAUGGGAGAGAGUUGAUCCUCUUUUUCCCAUUUUAUUUCAAGAGCUGUGUAUCUUAGCCGGGUGAAAAAAACCUCUCUGCUUAGUUUAAAA